rnacentral:tRNA from 1 species
GCAGCGGUAGUUUAGUGGUAGAAUAGGAGGCUGUGGCCCACCUGGCGCGAGUUCGAUUCUCGCCUGCUGCC